rnacentral:rRNA from 1 species
GGAGCGUUCUGUAAGCCUGCGAAGGUGUGCUGUGAGGCAUGCUGGAGGUAUCAGAAGUGCGAAUGCUGACAUAAGUAACGAUAAAGCGGGUGAAAAGCCCGCUCGCCGGAAGACCAAGGGUUCCUGUCCAACGUUAAUCGGGGCAGGGUGAGUCGACCCCUAAGGCGAGGCCGAAAGGCGUAGUCGAUGGGAAACAGGUUAAUAUUCCUGUACUUGGUGUUACUGCGAAGGGGGGACGGAGAAGGCUAUGUUGGCCGGGCGACGGUUGUCCCGGUUUAAGCGUGUAGGCUGGUUUUCCAGGCAAAUCCGGAAAAUCAAGGCUGAGGCGUGAUGACGAGGCACUACGGUGCUGAAGCAACAAAUGCCCUGCUUCCAGGAAAAGCCUCUAAGCAUCAGGUAACAUCAAAUCGUACCCCAAACCGACACAGGUGGUCAGGUAGAGAAUACCAAGGCGCUUGAGAGAACUCGGGUGAAGGAACUAGGCAAAAUGGUGCCGUAACUUCGGGAGAAGGCACGCUGAUAUGUAGGUGAAGUCCCUUGCGGAUGGAGCUGAAAUCAGUCGAAGAUACCAGCUGGCUGCAACUGUUUAUUAAAAACACAGCACUGUGCAAACACGAAAGUGGACGUAUACGGUGUGACGCCUGCCCGGUGCCGGAAGGUUAAUUGAUGGGGUCAGCGCAAGCGAAGCUCUUGAUCGAAGCCCCGGUAAACGGCGGCCGUAACUAUAACGGUCCUAAGGUAGCGAAAUUCCUUGUCGGGUAAGUUCCGACCUGCACGAAUGGCGUAAUGAUGGCCAGGCUGUCUCCACCCGAGACUCAGUGAAAUUGAACUCGCUGUGAAGAUGCAGUGUACCCGCGGCAAGACGGAAAGACCCCGUGAACCUUUACUAUAGCUUGACACUGAACAUUGAGCCUUGAUGUGUAGGAUAGGUGGGAGGCUUUGAAGUGUGGACGCCAGUCUGCAUGGAGCCGGCCUUGAAAUACCACCCUUUAAUGUUUGAUGUUCUAACGUGGACCCGUGAUCCGGGUUGCGGACAGUGUCUGGUGGGUAGUUUGACUGGGGCGGUCUCCUCCUAAAGAGUAACGGAGGAGCACGAAGGUUGGCUAAUCCUGGUCGGACAUCAGGAGGUUAGUGCAAUGGCAUAAGCCAGCUUGACUGCGAGCGUGACGGCGCGAGCAGGUGCGAAAGCAGGUCAUAGUGAUCCGGUGGUUCUGAAUGGAAGGGCCAUCGCUCAACGGAUAAAAGGUACUCCGGGGAUAACAGGCUGAUACCGCCCAAGAGUUCAUAUCGACGGCGGUGUUUGGCACCUCGAUGUCGGCUCAUCACAUCCUGGGGCUGAAGUAGGUCCCAAGGGUAUGGCUGUUCGCCAUUUAAAGUGGUACGCGAGCUGGGUUUAGAACGUCGUGAGACAGUUCGGUCCCUAUCUGCCGUGGGCGCUGGAGAAC